rnacentral:rRNA from 1 species
UACGGAGGGUGCAAGCGUUGUCCGGAAUCACUGGGCGUAAAGGGCGCGUAGGCGGCUCGGUAAGUAGGGGGUGAAAUCCCGGGGCUCAACCCUGGAAUGGCCUUCGAGACUGCCGGUCUUGAGUUCGAGAGAGGUGGGUGGAAUUCCGAGUGUAGAGGUGAAAUUCGUAGAUAUUCGGAGGAACACCAGUGGCGAAGGCGGCCCACUGGCUCGACACUGACGCUGAGGUGCGAAAGCGUGGGGAGCAAACAGG